UACGUAGGGACCAAGCGUUGUUCGGAUUUACUGGGCGUAAAGGGCGCGUAGGCGGCAAUUCAAGUCAUCUGUGAAAUCUCCGGGCUUAACUCGGAACGGUCAGGUGAUACUGUUUUGCUAGAGUGCGGAAGGGGCAAUCGGAAUUCUUGGUGUAGCGGUGAAAUGCGUAGAUAUCUGGAGGAACACCGGUGGCGAAGGCGACAUCCUGGACCGGUAUUGACGCUGAGGCGCGAAAGCCAGGGGAGCAAACGGG
rnacentral:rRNA from 1 species